rnacentral:rRNA from 1 species
UUUGAUCGAUUUCUUCGGAUUGAAUUUUAGUGACUGAGUGGCGGACGAGUGAGUAACGCGUGGGUAACCUGCCUCACACAGGGGGAUAACAGUUGGAAACGGCUGCUAAUACCGCAUAAGCGCACAGUACCGCAUGGUACAGUGUGAAAAACUCUGGUAGUGUGAGAUGGACCCGCGUCUGAUUAGCUGGUUGGCAGGGUAACGGCCUACCAAGGCGACGAUCAGUAGCCGACCUGAGAGGGUGACCGGCCACAUUGGGACUGAGACACGGCCCAAACUCCUACGGGAGGCAGCAGUGGGGAAUAUUGCACAAUGGGGGAAACCCUGAUGCAGCGACGCCGCGUGAGCGAAGAAGUAUUUCGGUAUGUAAAGCUCUAUCAGCAGGGAAGAAGAAAUGAUGGUACCUGACUAAGAAGCACCGGCUAAAUACGUGCCAGCAGCCGCGGUAAUACGUAUGGUGCAAGCGUUAUCCGGAUUUACUGGGUGUAAAGGGAGCGCAGGCGGAAGGCUAAGUCUGAUGUGAAAGCCCGGGGCUCAACCCCGGUACUGCAUUGGAAACUGGUCAUCUAGAGUGUCGGAGGGGUAAGUGGAAUUCCUAGUGUAGCGGUGAAAUGCGU